AGAUUAAGUUAUUAAGGGCGCACGGUGGAUGCCUUGGCACUAGAAGCCGAUGAAGGACGUUACUAACGACGAUAUGCUUUGGGGAGCUGUAAGUAAGCUUUGAUCCAGAGAUUUCCGAAUGGGGAAACCCAGCAUGAGUUAUGUCAUGUUAUCGAUAUGUGAAUACAUAGCAUAUCAGAAGGCACACCCGGAGAACUGAAACAUCUUAGUACCCGGAGGAAGAGAAAGAAAAUUCGAUUCCCUUAGUAGCGGCGAGCGAAACGGGAAGAGCCCAAACCAACAAGCUUGCUUGUUGGGGUUGUAGGACACUCUGUACGGAGUUACAAAGGACGACAUUAGACGAAUCAUCUGGAAAGAUGAAUCAAAGAAGGUAAUAAUCCUGUAGUCGAAAAUGUUGUCUCUCUUGAGUGGAUCCUGAGUACGACGGAGCACGUGAAAUUCCGUCGGAAUCUGGGAGGACCAUCUCCUAAGGCUAAAUACUCUCUAGUGACCGAUAGUGAACCAGUACCGUGAGGGAAAGGUGAAAAGCACCCCGGAAGGGGAGUGAAAUAGAACCUGAAACCGUGUGCUUACAAGUAGUCAGAGCCCGUUAAUGGGUGAUGGCGUGCCUUUUGUAGAAUGAACCGGCGAGUUACGAUUUGAUGCAAGGUUAAGCAGUAAAUGUGGAGCCGUAGCGAAAGCGAGUCUGAAUAGGGCGUUUAGUAUUUGGUCGUAGACCCGAAACCAGGUGAUCUACCCUUGGUCAGGUUGAAGUUCAGGUAACACUGAAUGGAGGACCGAACCGACUUACGUUGAAAAGUGAGCGGAUGAACUGAGGGUAGCGGAGAAAUUCCAAUCGAACCUGGAGAUAGCUGGUUCUCUCCGAAAUAGCUUUAGGGCUAGCCUCAAGUGAUGAUUAUUGGAGGUAGAGCACUGUUUGGACGAGGGGCCCCUCUCGGGUUACCGAAUUCAGACAAACUCCGAAUGCCAAUUAAUUUAACUUGGGAGUCAGAACAUGGGUGAUAAGGUCCGUGUUCGAAAGGGAAACAGCCCAGACCACCAGCUAAGGUCCCAAAAUAUAUGUUAAGUGGAAAAGGAUGUGGCGUUGCCCAGACAACUAGGAUGUUGGCUUAGAAGCAGCCAUCAUUUAAAGAGUGCGUAAUAGCUCACUAGUCGAGUGACACUGCGCCGAAAAUGUACCGGGGCUAAACAUAUUACCGAAGCUGUGGAUUGUCCUUUGGACAAUGGUAGGAGAGCGUUCUAAGGGCGUUGAAGCAUGAUCGUAAGGACAUGUGGAGCGCUUAGAAGUGAGAAUGCCGGUGUGAGUAGCGAAAGACGGGUGAGAAUCCCGUCCACCGAUUGACUAAGGUUUCCAGAGGAAGGCUCGUCCGCUCUGGGUUAGUCGGGUCCUAAGCUGAGGCCGACAGGCGUAGGCGAUGGAUAACAGGUUGAUAUUCCUGUACCACCUAUAAUCGUUUUAAUCGAUGGGGGGACGCAGUAGGAUAGGCGAAGCGUGCGAUUGGAUUGCACGUCUAAGCAGUAAGGCUGAGUAUUAGGCAAAUCCGGUACUCGUUAAGGCUGAGCUGUGAUGGGGAGAAGACAUUGUGUCUUCGAGUCGUUGAUUUCACACUGCCGAGAAAAGCCUCUAGAUAGAAAAUAGGUGCCCGUACCGCAAACCGACAC
rnacentral:rRNA from 1 species